rnacentral:rRNA from 1 species
GACGAACGCUGGCGGCGUGCCUAAUACAUGCAAGUUGAGCGCUGAAGGUUGGUACUUGUACCAACUGGAUGAGCAGCGAACGGGUGAGUAACGCGUGGGGAAUCUGCCUUUGAGCGGGGGACAACAUUUGGAAACGAAUGCUAAUACCGCAUAAAAACUUUAAACACAAGUUUUAAGUUUGAAAGAUGCAAUUGCAUCACUCAAAGAUGAUCCCGCGUUGUAUUAGCUAGUUGGUGAGGUAAAGGCUCACCAAGGCGAUGAUACAUAGCCGACCUGAGAGGGUGAUCGGCCACAAUGGGACUGAGACACGGCCCAAACUCCUACGGGAGGCAGCAGUAGGGAAUCUUCGGCAAUGGACGAAAGUCUGACCGAGCAACGCCGCGUGAGUGAAGAAGGUUUUCGGAUCGGAAAACUCUGUUGGUAGGGAAGAACGUUGGUGAGAGUGGAAAGCUCAUCAAGUGACGGUAACUACCCAGAAAGGGACGGCUAACUACGUG